rnacentral:rRNA from 1 species
GAUGAACGCUGGCGGCGUGCCUAAUACAUGCAAGUCGAGCGAACAGACGAGGAGCUUGCUCCUUCGACGUUAGCGGCGGACGGGUGAGUAACACGUAGGUAACCUACCUAUAAGACUGGGAUAACUUCGGGAAACCGGAGCUAAUACCGGAUAAUAUUUCGAACCGCAUGGUUCGAUAGUGAAAGAUGGCUUUGCUAUCACUUAUAGAUGGACCUGCGCCGGAUUAGCUAGUUGGUAAGGUAACGGCUUACCAAGGCAACGAUACGUAGCCGACCUGAGAGGGUGAUCGGCCACACUGGAACUGAGACACGGUCCAGACUCCUACGGGAGGCAGCAGUAGGGAAUCUUCCGCAAUGGGCGAAAGCCUGACGGAGCAACGCCGCGUGAGUGAUGAAGGUCUUCGGAUCGUAAAACUCUGUUAUUAGGGAAGAACAAACGUGUAAGUAACUGUGCACGUCUUGACGGUACCUAAUCAGAAAGCCACGGCUAACUACGUG